rnacentral:rRNA from 1 species
AUUGCUGUGGUAUUUUGACUAUACAAAGGUAUUGUAAUAAGGCUUUAAUUGAGCGCUAAGAGAAUGGAUUUUCAAGAAAAUUCUUUUUUAAAUUUAAAAAUUGAAGUUAUUUUUAUUUGUGAAGAAACAACAAUAAAAAUUAAAGACAAGAAGACCCUAUGAAUUUUUUUUAAAACACAAUUAUAAUAUUAAUUGUGUUUUAAUUAAUUGGGGCGAUUAAAAAAAAUUAUAAACUUUUUAUAAAAAUAAAAUGAUCCACAAAUUGUGAUUUUAUGAAAUAAAUACUC